UACGGGGGGGGCAAGCGUUGUUCGGAAUUACUGGGCGUAAAGGGCGCGUAGGCGGUUGGAUAAGUCAGCUGUGAAAACCACGGGCUUAACUCGUGGCCUGCAGUUGAGACUGUCUGGCUUGAGUGUGGGAGAGAAGAGUGGAAUUCCUGGUGUAGCGGUGAAAUGCGUAGAUAUCAGGAGGAACACCGGUGGCGAAGGCGGCUCUCUGGACCACAACUGACGCUGAGGCGCGAAAGCUAGGGGAGCAAACAGG
rnacentral:rRNA from 1 species